GUGUCUGUGUGAGUGAAAGACAGAGAGGGAGAGAGAGGGACAGAUUGAUGCUUAGUGUGAGCACUCAGGUCGCAUCAGAGCAUCGGGCCGUAUAGUGUGAGACCCUGCAUCGUGACCUACGAACUUCUAACCCCUGCGAGUCAAUCGUACAGUUUGAGCAGGCGCUGAAUAACGCCACUGAAAAAAUCGCACAGCGUAUGCCCAAGGCUCCGCCGAUGCUGAUGGAAAUGGACAAAACGUUAAGAAACGCAAAGCCAGAGGAACAGACUAACACACACUAAUGCUGUUUUUGACUUCUAUUUAUGCCCUCAGUAGGCGUGACCUAACGGCCGCACUUCAAAGCACGGCUGAACUUCAAAGCACUCAGCCUUUUGACGCGUCAUGUAAUCUUCCUUCUAAUAGCGCAACUCCUCCCACUCAUUCAUAAUCCGACCUCCGCGUUUGCACUCGUCCUACAAGAGCUCCCAAAUUUGAACAUCACUGAUGUUCAUCGGAUUCUAGUGACGACAAACCCCGUCAGCAUGUUAGAUAAAGGAUUUAAGUUAUAUGCUGCAUCAUAUAUACACAACUACGAAGUGUCCAAAAAACACAGGUUGACAGGGGAGGUCGGUGUGAGAGCCCUGUGCUACAGGUCAACGAGGAAGAGUGAGGCACCACACAGACUAAGUAUUAAGCUUCUGGAUUCAUCGCCAGUGCUCCUGUGUGGC
ensembl:lncRNA